rnacentral:lncRNA from 1 species
UCAGCCAGGCCCUGGCACGAGCCCUCGGCUGAAGCACUCACCUCUGAGCUUCAGUUUAGUGAGUAGCAUCCUCCCUAGAAAGUAAUAUUCUUGCUUCAUACGGUGAUAUGGUGGAAGGGUUACCAGCAUGGCUUUGGAGUCAGACAGACUGUGGUUCAAAUCUUAGCUACACGACUUUCUACCUCUUUGAUUUGGGGCAAGUUCUAACCGCUGGCUUUUUCUCUUCUGUAAAAUGAGGACAUGGAAUCUAUUUCACAGGGCUGUGGCUUCAGUGAGAUCACAUAUGACCCGCUUAAGUCAAAGCGGGUCCACGGUAUGUGUUUGAUCCCACGUAGGCAUUACCCGCUGUAUCUACCUCACAGGGCAGUUGUGAGGAUGAAGGGUAGAGGGAAAUGCUUUCCAAACUGUGAAGUGAUCUGUGUUUACCUCUCUCCUCUGGAGAUGGAGAGAUAGGAAGUUGCUGUCAGACACUAGUGGGAUGCCCAUGGAGAGGGCCUAGUAUGCUUCUGUGCACACAGUGUGGCUGGGCUGAAGGGGAGGUGCUGUGUUGUGCAGUGGUGCACAGCGGGGGCGUGCCCUCCGGUGAGGGUUGCUGCACUGAAGUGGGGAAGUUCAGUGCCUAUGGCUACACUGUUGGGAGCAGGGAGAGCGCAGGUCCUAUCUUAAGAAGGAUGCUAGAUGGGGGCUAAAGUAGAUGAGUGUUUGCCUAGCAUGAGCAAGGGCCAUGGAUUUCGUAUCUAGCACCUCAGGAAAAACACAACAAACAAACAAACAAACAAACCCCUCUUCUUGUUUAAAGAUUCUGGAUAAAGAACAGUGUUGUGAACGUGUGUAUCCACUGUUUGUCUUUUUAAAUACAACUCAAAUAGCAGGAAGGCCUGUGUGCACAAGAGGUGACAAGUGACUGCAAGUGUUUCCAUCGCUGGCAGCCAUGCACCCUCCUACCACGAGUACAGAUUUCAUUCUGGAGUGUGCAGACCAAAUGCAGGUCAGAGGGCCCUCCCGGGGCAACUCGCCAAGAUCCUGACCAAAGCCUAGCCUCACAAAGUAAUCCCUAGCCCAGUUAGCAGAUCAGGGGUUGGGGCUUGGGAACGUCAUGUCCAAUGUCCAAGGCUGCACAGGUCCUGUGGGGACAGAAUCCAAGCCCUUCACCUGGAUUGGGGUUCCUCCGCCUGCCAGUCUCAGAUCUCUGAUCUUGAACAAGGAUAGCAUGCAGAAGAGUAAGGUUCCAUGCCUAAGUGACCUCCUCUGGACCUCAGACGCAGUUCUUGCUCCUGACCUCAUGCCUCGUCUCCAGACAUCACUCCCCAGCUUAGCCCUUAGGUCAGGCUCCUCUGGGCACCAUCCUUAGAUUCAACCCAAAGGAGGGUCCUCUCAUUCUAACCAGACUGUCUCUCCAAAUACCACCCUAGUCAGCUCCUUGGCUUCUCAGUGUCCCCUUGGAGAACAUGGGGUAUAGGUUCCCAGCUAGUUCAGUGGCAUUCCACAGCCCAUCUCUUGUGAGGUCCCACUCCUUAACAAUGGUCUUUCAGUUUCAAACGCAUGCGGCCAGCGGGCAGUCUAGGGACCCUUCAAAGUCAAUGCUUCUUGAUUAAAUUAUCGAGACUAAUGUUUAACUUUGAGAUACGUUUUCUGAGAGUUGCUAACCGGUUGGAGAUGAACUUAGAGAAUAGGGUUCACCUUUUUCGUCUGUCAGCGGGUUAUCGAGUGCCCAGUGGUGUGCCAGAUUCAGCAGCUGGUGCAGGAGAUACAUUCGUGAGCAAAACAGAUCUGAGCCCUGACUUCGGGAGGCCUCCUCCUAACAACUAGGGCAGAUAUAACCAGUGUUCCCUGAAUACAAACGCCUAGCCUGGCAUGGUGGCACACACCUAUGAUGUCAGCCCUUAGGAGCCGGAGGUAAGAAGAUCAGGAGUUCAGCUAUCUUUGGCCAACCUGGGCUACAUAAGACCGUGUCUUAAAAAAAAAAAAAAAAAUCCAAACAAAAUACACACUAUAACUGUGAGAAAUGUUGUGAAGAGAAAGGUCCAAAUGCAGUGAAAGAGCUCAGUAAAAAAAGUGUGGGGUGUGUUAGGACAGUGACAACAUGUGCCCGUAUGUGGAGAAGAGAAUCCUGGGUAAUGGGAGGAGCUUACUGUAUUGGAAUCGGCAGCAGCAGUGAGGUCUGCUGCUGGACGGAGCCUGCCCCCCAGGCUGGGUGGGGAAGGUGUCACGGACCUUGCAGACCACGGUAAGGAACUUGCAUUCUGGUGUUUAACUUUUUAUUUGGAGACCAUUUCAAAGUGACUGGAACCUUAUGAGAGUGGCACAAAAGAUGUCUGCAUACUUUGGCUGCAGCCUCCCCGACUGACCUGUAAACGUUCUGUUCCCCGAGUCACCACCCGUGUCUCCCUGUGAUGUGUACUCAUAGCCUGUAGUCCGAACUCUGAGAAUGAGUUGCAUACAUUGUGUCUGUUUACACUUAAAACACAGUGGAGACCCCCUACAGUAAUGCCUCGCCCGCCUCCGCCUGCCACACUGGGUUUAUCGCUGGUUGGUGGCUCCACACUGUUUGUUGGUCGUCUCUCUAGUCACCUUCAUUAGCAUCUUCCCUUUAGGACAAGUCACGUCUGCGAAUGAUGUGGACCAUGCGUUGUGCUUUCUUGCUCGUAUCUUUUAAUGUGGCGUAGUUUCUUUCCUCUCUGUUUGAAUAGACUAUUUCUCCUUU